rnacentral:misc_RNA from 1 species
CGUCGAAGGUGGGGCUGAUGACUGGGGUGAAGUCGUAACAAGGUAUCCGUACCGGAAGGUGCGGAUGGAUCACCUCCUAACAGGGAGACAAAACAAUGAUUUUGAUGUCUGAGUAUUUCAUUCUUAGGCCGAAAUCCUGUCACCUUAGGUCGAUCGGUACCUCAACAUUUUUCCAAAAAUUGGUGAGCAAUCAUCAAGAGAUUGGAAGGGAUGUUCAGUUCCUAAACUUUGUCUAGGUCACACCCCGCAAGGGAAGAGUCCCCUGGGCCAUUAGCUCAGGUGGUUAGAGCGCACCCCUGAUAAGGGUGAGGUCCCUGGUUCAAGUCCAGGAUGGCCCAUUCGAUGUUGGGGGUUUAGCUCAGUUGGUAGAGCGCCUGCUUUGCAAGCAGGAUGUCAGGAGUUCGAGUCUCCUAACCUCCACUGACAGAACUCAAUCUCCAUUGUCCGGUAACUCGGAGGAUGAACUCAAAGGUGUGUGAUUUAGAUGUGUCCACUAGAUAGGACCCUAGCUUCCUGUCAUCCCGAACAAGUGAUUAUUGCUUGAUUGGUUGAUAUGAUGCUGGGCUCAGAUUAAUCGAAAGAUUAAUCUGAUCUCUAGUAGAACCUUGACAACUGCAUAAGUAAGUCUGGAAAAACGAAGCAUCUUACAGAUGUAUUGUUUUAAGUCUGAAUUCUCGAAAGAGAGUUUAGAUCUAGAAUGAUGAAAAUUCUUUUAAGCAAGAGCCGAGACUCUUAGAUGUUCUUUUUAUCGUGUCGAGCGAUAAAGAGUUUGAUUUUGUUUUUAUGAGCAGCGAAAGUUGCUGAUGAAACCAGAAGAAUCUGCUUUCAACCGCAGUAAGCGUUUAAGAGGUUAAUUGGUCAAGCUACAAAGGGCUCACGGCG